ACUCCUACGGGAGGCAGCAGUGGGGAAUUUUGGACAAUGGGGGCAACCCUGAUCCAGCAAUGCCGCGUGAGUGAUGAAGGCCUUCGGGUUGUAAAGCUCUUUUGCCAGGGACGAUGAUGACGGUACCUCCAAAGGAAGCACCGGCUAACUCCGUGCCAGCAGCCGCGGUAAUACGGAGGGUGCGAGCGUUGUCCGGAAUCACUGGGCGUAAAGGGCGCGUAGGCGGCUCGGUAAGUAGGGGGUGAAAUCCUGCGGCUUAACCGCAGGGCUGCCUUCUAAACUGUCGAGCUUGAGCACGGUAGAGGCAAGUGGAAUUCCUGGUGUAGCGGUGGAAUGCGUAGAGAUCAGGAAGAACACCGGUGGCGAAGGCGGCUUGCUGGGCCAUUUCUGACGCUGAGGCGCGAAAGCGUGGGGAGCAAACAGGAUUAGAUACCCUGGUAGUCCACGCUGUAAACGAUGGGUGCUAGGCGUCGGGGGGAGCGACCCUCCCGGUGCCGUCGCUAACGCAAUAAGCACCCCGCCUGGGGAGUACGGCCGCAAGGUUGAAACUUAAAGGAAUUGACG
rnacentral:rRNA from 1 species